rnacentral:rRNA from 1 species
CCUACGGGCGACAGCAGUGAGGAAUAUUGGUCAAUGGACGAGAGUCUGAACCAGCCAAGUAGCGUGAAGGAUGACUGCCCUAUGGGUUGUAAACUUCUUUUAUAUGGGAAUAAAACGUUCCACGUGUGGGAUUUUGUAUGUACCAUAUGAAUAAGGAUCGGCUAACUCCGUGCCAGCAGCCGCGGUAAUACGGAGGAUCCGAGCGUUAUCCGGAUUUAUUGGGUUUAAAGGGAGCGUAGAUGGAUUGUUAAGUCAGUUGUGAAAGUUUGCGGCUCAACCGUAAAAUUGCAGUUGAAACUGGCAGUCUUGAGUACAGUAGAGGUGGGCGGAAUUCGUGGUGUAGCGGUGAAAUGCUUAGAUAUCACGAAGAACUCCGAUUGCGAAGGCAGUUCACUGGACUGCAACUGACACUGAGGCUCGAAAGUGUGGGUAUCAAACAGGAUUAGAUACCCGAGUAGUC